rnacentral:lncRNA from 1 species
UUAAGAGAAAAUGCCAAUAGAGAAAAAACAAAGACAAGAGAAGAUAGUUUUGGCACACCAGCCAGAUUUUCUGCCUGAACAUAGUUGUGGCACGCCCGGUGGGAUCACAAAUCUUGUAUGCCAAGUAGGUAAAGGAAGGAACAAACCUUCAGGUGGGAAUCAAAGCAAAAACCACCCUGGUACACACCAAGAUCUAGCAUGGCAAAUUUCCCCGAAGACUUGCAAGGAUCCGCCUUGACAGAAAGCCCGACCCCUGCUGAGAAAUCAGGAGAAAAGUUUGCAAAUGUAGAUUUGCAGGCUACUAUGAUGGCUGUAAUAAGGAGCGUGGAGAGAAACUCUCUACAAACAAGAGAGGAAGUAAGCAGACUCUAUUCCUUAACAGGACAUCUGCAAAGAAGGCUAGAUUUGGAAUACCCUACCCCAGAAAAUAAUCAUGCUAGAGAAACCAUAAGGGAAAAUAGCCUUGUGGAUGAAUCAGUUAUUCCUCUGUUUCCUUUACAUGAGAAAAAA